CGGCUGGGCUCCUGUCCGCGCGCAACCCUCGACGCCUGCUGCUCGCUGGGGCCCAGCCUCGACGGCCCGCUCGUCAUCAACGCCGCCCCCUCGCGCUAC
rnacentral:SRP_RNA from 1 species